rnacentral:rRNA from 1 species
UACGGGGGGGGUAAGCGUUGUUCGGAAUUACUGGGCGUAAAGGGCUCGUAGGCGGCCAACUAAGUCAGACGUGAAAUCCCUCAGCUUAACUGGGGAACUGCGUCUGAUACUGGAUGGCUUGGAUUCGGGAGAGGGAUGCGGAAUUCCAGGUGUAGCGGUGAAAUGCGUAGAUAUCUGGAGGAACACCGGUGGCGAAGGCGGCAUCCUGGACCAACACUGACGCUGAGGAGCGAAAGCCAGGGGAGCAAACGGG